rnacentral:rRNA from 1 species
CCUACGGGUGGCAGCAGUGAGGAAUAUUGGUCAAUGGCCGAGAGGCUGAACCAGCCAAGUCGCGUGAGGGAAGACGGCCCUACGGGUUGUAAACCUCUUUUGUCGGGGAGCAAAGCGAACCACGUGUGGUUCAUUGAGAGUACCCGAAGACAAAGCCUCGGCUAACUCCGUGCCAGCAGCCGCGGUAAUACGGGGGAUGCAAGCGUUAUACGGGUUUAUUGGGUUUAACGGGUGCGCAGGCGGAGGUGCAAGUCAGCGGUCAAAUUGCGGGGCUCAACCCCGUACUGCCGUUGAAACUGCAUCCCUUGAGUGCGCGAGAAGUAUGCGGAAUGCGUGGUGUAGCGGUGAAAUGCAUAGAUAUCACGCAGAACUCCGAUUGCGAAGGCAGCAUACCGGCGCGCAACUGACGCUCAUGCACGAAAGCGUGGGUAUCGAACAGGAUUAGAUACCCCAGUAGUC